CAGAAGGGUUCCAACUGUCAACCUCCAAGCAUCAUUACACCAUCUGCAAGGCCUCCUUCCACUCAGGUAUUACCUGACCAGACAUCUACACCACCAUUGGGCAGCAAUACCAUCACCGCAGUCUGUGUGACUCUAGCUGUGUUGGUAACCGGACUGGUCGGAGUUCUACUCUAUGUGUGUAAAAACAGGAAGACACAGGGCAACACCACACCAACAGGUUGCACCCAGAGG